AGCGAACGCUGGCGGCAGGCCUAACACAUGCAAGUCGAGCGGCCGUAGCAAUACGGCAGCGGCAGACGGGAGAGUAACACGUGGGAACGCGCCCUUCGGUUCGGAAUAACUCAGGGAAACUUGGGCUAAUACCGGAUACGCCCUAACGGGGAAAGAUUUAUUGCCGAAGGAACGGCCCGCGUCCGAUUAGCUUGUUGGUGAGGUAACGGCUCACCAAGGCGACGAUCGGUAGCUGGUCUGAGAGGAUGACCAGCCUCACUGGGACUGAGACACGGCCCAGACUCCUACGGGAGGCAG
rnacentral:rRNA from 1 species